rnacentral:rRNA from 1 species
AGCCUGAUGCAGCCAUGCCGCGUGUGUGAAGAAGGCCUUCGGGUUGUAAAGCACUUUCAGCGAGGAGGAAAGGUUGACGGUUAAUACCCGUCAGCUGUGACGUUACUCGCAGAAGAAGCACCGGCUAACUCCGUGCCAGCAGCCGCGGUAAUACGGAGGGUGCGAGCGUUAAUCGGAAUUACUGGGCGUAAAGCGCAUGCAGGCGGCCAAGUCAGUCAGAUGUGAAAGCCCCGGGCUCAACCUGGGAAUAGCAUUUGAUACUGCUUGGCUAGAGUCCUUGAGAGGGGGGUAGAAUUUCAGGUGUAGCGGUGAAAUGCGUAGAGAUCUGAAGGAAUACCAGUGGCGAAGGCGGCCCCCUGGCAAGAGACUGACGCUCAGAUGCGAAAGCGUGGGGAGCAAACAGGAUUAGAUACCCUGGUAGUCCACGCCGUAAACGAUGUCUAUUAGGAGUCUGUGACCUUGAGUCUGUGGGUUCCAAAGCUAACGCAUUAAAUAGACCGCCUGGG